rnacentral:rRNA from 1 species
AACGAACGCUGGCGGCAGGCUUAACACAUGCAAGUCGAACGCCCCGCAAGGGGAGUGGCAGACGGGUGAGUAACGCGUGGGAACAUACCCUUUCCUGCGGAAUAGCUCUGGGAAACUGGAAUUAAUACCGCAUACGCCCUACGGGGGAAAGAUUUAUCGGGGAAGGAUUGGCCCGCGUUGGAUUAGCUAGUUGGUGGGGUAAAGGCCUACCAAGGCGACGAUCCAUAGCUGGUCUGUGAGGAUGAUCAGCCACAUUGGGACUGAGACACGGCCCAAACUCCUAUGGGAGGCAGCAGUGGGGAAUAUUGGACAAUGGGCGCAAGCCUGAUCCAGCCAUGCCGCGUGAGUGAUGAAGGCCUUAGGGUUGUAAAGCUCUUUCACCGAUGAAGAUAAUGACGGUAGUCGGAGAAGAAGCCCCGGCUAACUUCGUGCCAGCCGCCGCUGUAAAAC